GACGAACUGUGCAAACGUUAUUCGGAAUCACUGGGCUUGAAGAGUGCGUAGGCGGUUUCGUAAGUCGGGUGUGAAAGCCCCCGGCUCAACCGGGGAAUUGCGCCCUAAACUGCGAGGCUGGAGUGAGGUAGGGGUGUGUGGAACUUCCAGUGGAGCGGUGAAAUGUGUUGAUAUUGGAAGGAACGCCGGUGGCGAAAGCGACACACUGGACCUUGUCUGACGCUGAGGCACGAAAGCCAGGGGAGCAAACGGG
rnacentral:rRNA from 1 species